AAGUGCGGAGCCGCACAGAUGGGGAGCUUGCUCCCUGAUGUUAGCGGCGGACGGGUGCACUAACACGUGGGUAACCUGCCUGUAAGACUGGGAUAACUCCGGGAAACCGGGGCUAAUACCGGAUGGUUGUUUGAACCGCAUGGUUCAAACAUAAAAGGUGGCUUCGGCUACCACUUACAGAUGGACCCGCGGCGCAUUAGCUAGUUGGUGAGGUAACGGCUCACCAAGGCAACGAUGCGUAGCCGACCUGAGAGGGUGAUCGGCCACACUGGGACUGAGACACGGCCCAGACUCCUACGGGAGGCAGCAGUAGGGAAUCUUCCGCAAUGGACGAAAGUCUGACGGAGCAACGCCGCGUGAGUGAUGAAGGUUUUCGGAUCGUAAAGCUCUGUUGUUAGGGAAGAACAAGUACCGUUCGAAUAGGGCGGUACCUUGACGGUACCUAACCAGAAAGCCACGGCUAACUACGUGCCAGCAGCCGCGGUAAUACGUAGGUGGCAAGCGUUGUCCGGAAUUA
rnacentral:rRNA from 1 species